UUUUAUGGAGAGUUUGAUCCUGGCUCAGGAUGAACGCUGGCGGCGUGCCUAAUACAUGCAAGUCGAGCGAACGGACGAGAAGCUUGCUUCUCUGAUGUUAGCGGCGGACGGGUGAGUAACACGUGGAUAACCUACCUAUAAGACUGGGAUAACUUCGGGAAACCGGAGCUAAUACCGGAUAAUAUUUUGAACCGCAUGGUUCAAAAGUAAAAGACGGUCUUGCUGUCACUUAUAGAUGGAUCCGCGCUGCAUUAGCUAGUUGGUAAGGUAACGGCUUACCAAGGCAACGAUGCAUAGCCGACCUGAGAGGGUGAUCGGCCACACUGGAACUGAGACACGGUCCAGACUCCUACGGGAGGCAGCAGUAGGGAAUCUUCCGCAAUGGGCGAAAGCCUGACGGAGCAACGCCGCGUGAGUGAUGAAGGUCUUCGGAUCGUAAAACUCUGUUAUUAGGGAAGAACAUAUGUGUAAGUAACUGUGCACAUCUUGACGGUACCUAAUCAGAAAGCCACGGCUAACUACGUGCCAGCAGCCGCGGUAAUACGUAGGUGGCAAGCGUUAUCCGGAAUUAUUGGGCGUAAAGCGCGCGUAGGCGGUUUUUUAAGUC
rnacentral:rRNA from 1 species